GCGUGUGCGCCUCUUUCUGUUAAAAGCGUUCAUACCCAAACCUAUGGGAGGGAUUUUGACAGAGGGCUUCGAGUCAUAGGCAAAGAUGCCGUGGCAUUCGCCGGGGGAGUUUUUUGACAUAGUGUUUAGUGCCCGGUUGGGAAUGGAUGGUUCUGGAUUUCUGUGGGACAGAGUUCCCAGGGAAAGGUGUGACCUUUUGGGUGACUUGACAAUGAGUAGUUUUAAGUUAGUCUGUGAGACUGGAUUACUUAGUUAACCGACUUAGUUGUUACUGUAAAUAAACGUUAUGUUAUGA